rnacentral:rRNA from 1 species
AUUGAACGCUGGCGGCAUGCCUUACACAUGCAAGUCGAACGGCAGCACGGGAGCUUGCUCCUGGUGGCGAGUGGCGAACGGGUGAGUAAUACAUCGGAACGUACCCAGGAGUGGGGGAUAACGUAGCGAAAGUUACGCUAAUACCGCAUAUUCUGUGAGCAGGAAAGCGGGGGAUCGCAAGACCUCGCGCUCUUGGAGCGGCCGAUGUCGGAUUAGCUAGUUGGUGAGGUAAAAGCUCACCAAGGCGACGAUCCGUAGCAGGUCUGAGAGGAUGGUCUGCCACACUGGGACUGAGACACGGCCCAGACUCCUACGGGAGGCGGCAGUGGGGAAUUUUGGACAAUGGGGGCAACCCUGAUCCAGCCAUGCCGCGUGAGUGAAGAAGGCCUUCGGGUUGUAAAGCUCUUUCGGCGGGGAAGAAAUGGCAACGGCUAAUAUCCGUUGUUGAUGACGGUACCCGCAUAAGAAGCACCGGCUAACUACGUGCCAGCCGCCGCGGUAA